GGCAAGUGAACUGCUUGCAAAUUGGGAGAUUGAGCAGUGCAUGCCCUGAUGCCAGCCAUGUCCCCUGAUCGGGGAUGUGGUCUGCAGUAGGGGGUGUAGUCAGCAGCAGGGGGUUUAGAUGGCAGCAUCAUGGUAUCAUCUCAGGUUGUACCAGUGCUUGAGCUGGUACUGGAUGCUUUCUUAAUUUCUGUUUCCUGUUUGCGGUACAUGAUAAUACUGUUUCAUGUCCUCCAUACCCCUGAGUGGUGUGCAGUUCCAGCACAGCUUUAUGGAGACAAUUUCCUCUGAAAAGAAUGUCUGUACAGCACUCACUCAUGUACCACUGCACAUGGCCAACAUCCAGACUAAUGCUGCAAGGACACACCUGGGUUUCCUGUUGUGCAAGGGGUGACCUGUGAUUUCAUUCAUUCCACACUUCACUCUGCAACUGCCUGCUAUAAAAUGUGUUGCUGAAGGUUGGAGGAUCCCACAAGUGUUUGCGGAAGGGAGAAAUAGCUGAAAACCACACCUCACCUUGUGCAAUGGAAAACCCUGAUGCACUGGCACAGUGUUAGUCUGUCUGGUUGUUGGCCAGUAUGUGCAAUGGGGAACAUUUGCAAGGUUCCUGGUUAUGUGGAGAGAGCAUAUGCGUGUACAACCUGCAUAUGCAUAGGCUAUAUACAUAAGCUUGCUGGAAUGUGUGAAGGAUGGGAGUGGUGUCAACGGGCACAAUUCUGAUCUCCCCACAUGUUCAGUGAAUGUCUGAAAAGGUCUUACGAAAUUAUCGUGGGCUAUACUCUGUGAUAAUCUGUUAGGAACACUCAGGACUUUUGAGAGCAAAGCUUUAUAGAAGUCGUUUUCUUUAAAAAUUUAAUGGUGUUUUUUUUUUUAACAUUUUGUAUUUUACAACAUCUUUCCCAAUUCCCCACCUCCACCCCGCCCCGAACCCAACCUUCCCUUCCCCUUUUAGCACUGAUUGAGGGGUGAUGAGAAGAGAAAAGAAAGGAGAGAUGGAAAGAGAAAGAGGGAUAAAGAAAGCAGAAGGGGAGGGAGAGAAGAGGAGAAGGGAUACUCAUCAUUGUACUAGUAAGUUGGGUAGAUCAGAGAGGUUUCUAGUCUAAGAAUAGUUCAAGGAAGUUGUCCCAGAUUUCUGACCAUUUAUCCGAUUUAUUUACUUUUAAGAGGACCCAUUUUUCAUGUGCCACUAGCUCAAGCAGGCCCUGCACCGAAUCCUCACUCCUAGGGGGAUUGGGAGAUUUCCAUUGCCUCAAUAUUCACCUCUUGGCUACCAGCAAGCUCCGCCAUAGCCAUUGUUUAGAACUGGAUUUUAGUCCCCAGUCGGAUGGGAUAAACCCCAACACUACAUGCAGAUCCUUCAGUGCAAGAGAUGAAUUCAUCACUAAGUUAAUUUGCAUAAUAACCUCCCUCCAGAAGCCUUGCACUAUGGGAUGGUCUCAGAACGUAUGUGUUAAAUUGGCAUGCAAAGUUGUUUAUGACCCCCAUCCUACCCUCACCUUGGCCCCACUGCUGGCAGAGAAUCUGGCUUCCGCAGGCCUUUACCACCUUCCGUCUCCCCCUUUGCUUUGGACUCUGCAGAGCACUCUCCAGAUUAACCCCUACAACGUAUCUGCUUCCGUACUUUCUGUGUUGUGACACUGCAGUCCCUACACUGUCAGCAGGGUGCAGUACACAUUUCGGAUACCUUGUUUUGGAUUUUAUCACUGUGAUUUAGUGCUGUAAUGUAUGUCCGUUGCAAAAAUAGUAGCUGUAUUUUCCAUUGUAGAUUCUGGGGAGCCUUUUUCAAUUUGAUCCUGCCAAGCUGAAGCAUUUUAACACAGUUCUAGUGGGUAAUCUGGAAAGUGCUCCCGUGAGGGAAGAAGCCAUGUAGCUGCAGCAUGACAUAAUAAGGCAAUGUUCCUUUUCUCUCUCCUUCCCUGCUAGGCUGCUCAGAAAGGAAGGGGAGCCACAAGCACAUGGGGAAAUAUCUGCUUAUAAGAGAGCCAGCAUGGUGUAGUGGUUAGUGUGCUGGACUAGGACUGGGGAGACCCGAGUUCAAAUCCCCAUUCAGCCAUGAUACUAGCUGGGUGACUGUGGGCCAGUCACUUCUCUCAGCCUAACCUACUUCACAGGGUUGUUGUGAGGAGAAACUUAAGUAUGUAGUACACCGCUCUUGGCUCCUUGGAGGAAGAGCGGGAUAUAAAAUGUAAAAUAAAUUUUAAAAAAUUAAAAAAAAUACUCCUUGCCAUUUCCACCUUAUCAGGAGCUUUGGUUCUGGUAUGGAUGCUGGCUCUGUAUACAGGCUUUGAUAUGAUGCAUUCAGAUUUAUUCCAGUCCUGGAGGUCUACAAUUUUGCAUAUGCACAUGAUGGCUGAUGUUAUGUUGUGGCAGUUUGGGCAAUUCUUUCCUUUUAAAUGCUUGGGUCUGCUGUCUGGCAUGUUAUUAAUUACCAUACUGCCUGCAAAAGCAAUUUAUUCUGAAGAAAAGUUAUUGUAAACCCAGCUCACUUACUUUGUAGCUGGCCAGCUGUGUCUUGCGUAACCUUCCUUCAUCCUCGGAAAGUCAAUUGGCUACAGUAUAAAAAUUCACCUGUAUCGAAGCUCAUUUAUUCACUAGACAGUGACUGCUGCCUGAUAUUUCUCCUGAGUUUUUACUGCACAGUGUAGACUGUGUCUCUCCUGAAUUAAUAGCAUCCAUUAAUCAUACAGUACGUAAUGCUUCUUUGCUGCAUCAUAGACUACAAUUUGAAUUAUUCUUCUCUUACUAUGGUGUUGUCCUGCAAGCUGAGGGCAUUCCUAGGUCAAGUGGAUUGCCCAAGAUCUCAAAGAGAGCGAGAUGUGCCUAUAGCUCAGUGGUACAGAGCACCUGCUUUGCAUGCAGAAGAUCCAAGAUUCCAUCCUGAUACCUCCAGCCCAGUGGUGCACAAGGGAAGAGGCAGGGAAAGGAGAGGGAAGAGUGCAUGCUGAGGCAGGUGGUGGUGGGUGCCACUGUGAAGAAAUUAAGAGAGGAGAAAAGAACCAUCUCAAGGCAACUGUUUGUCAAGUGGCUGUGCUGCUCAAAUGAAGGCAGGGAGCAGCUGAACAAGGCAGGUGAGGCAGUGGGAGGAUCUUACCACCCCAUUACCAAUGCUUCAAUAAUCUGCUACUUGAAGUAACUGCCUAACCUCAACUCAUGGGAGGACUGCUCCUGGUGUAGCUAAAGUCAACAUCAGGAUAUUGGGCAAGAUAGAACAUUAGCCUUAAUGUCUGGAAAAAGAAAAAGAAAAAACAGGAAAAAGAGUGGAGAUCUUAAAAAUUAGACCAGUAGGAAAAGUUCUGAUUUUCCAUGACAUGGGUGAAACAAAGAAGAGGAAAUGACUUCUAUGCAGAAGAUCAGGAAUUCAAAAUCUGACUGUAUGAAAAUAUUGGUGAAGAACAAGAAAUAAAAAACAAGAAAAAUUGUAGGUAACCUGUUGUAAAGUAAUAAUAAUAUUAUUUGCAACGAAUAUAUUUGUAACCUUAAUAUAUUUUAUUUGUUGUACAGUAAUAAUAUUAUGAAGUAAUAAUAGAGUAUGACCAAUCCUA